rnacentral:rRNA from 1 species
UAGCAUAUCAAUAAGCGGAGGAAAAGAAACUAACAAGGAUUCCCCUAGUAACUGCGAGUGAAGCGGGAAAAGCUCAAAUUUAAAAUCUGGCAGCCUUUGGUUGUCCGAGUUGUAAUCUAGAGAAGUGUUAUCCGCGCUGGACCGUGUACAAGUCUCCUGGAAUGGAGCGUCAUAGAGGGUGAGAAUCCCGUCUUUGACACGGACUGCCAGGGCUUUGUGAUGCGCUCUCAAAGAGUCGAGUUGUUUGGGAAUGCAGCUCAAAAUGGGUGGUAAAUUCCAUCUAAAGCUAAAUAUUGGCGAGAGACCGAUAGCGAACAAGUACCGUGAGGGAAAGAUGAAAAGAACUUUGGAAAGAGAGUUAAACAGUACGUGAAAUUGCUGAAAGGGAAACGCUUGAAGUCAGUCGCGUUGUCCAGGGAUCAACCUUGCUUUUGCUUGGUGCACUUUCUGGUCGACGGGUCAGCAUCAAUUUUGACUAUUGGAAAAAGAUUAGGGGAAUGUGGCAUCUUUGGAUGUGUUAUAGCCCUUGGUUGCAUACAAUGGUUGGGAUUGAGGAACUCAGCACGCCGCAAGGCCGGGUUUUUAACCACGUACGUGCUUAGGAUGCUGGCAUAAUGGCUUUAAUCGACCCGUCUUGAAACACGGACCAAGGAGUCUAACAUGCCUGCGAGUGUUUGGGUGGAAAACCCGAGCGCGUAAUGAAAGUGAAAGUUGAGAUCCCUGUCGUGGGGAGCAUCGACGCCCGGACCAGACCUUUUGUGACGGUUCCGCGGUAGAGCAUGUAUGUUGGGACCCGAAAGAUGGUGAACUAUGCCUGAAUAGGGUGAAGCCAGAGGAAACUCUGGUGGAGGCUCGUAGCGAUUCUGACGUGCAAAUCGAUCGUCAAAUUUGGGUAUAGGGGCGAAAGACUAAUCGAACCAU